UACGAAGGGGGCUAGCGUUGCUCGGAAUCACUGGGCGUAAAGCGCACGUAGGCGGCUUUUUAAGUCAGGGGGGAAAUCCUGGAGCUCAACUCCAGAACGGCCUUUGAUACUGAGAAGCUUGAGUCCGGGAGAGGUGAGUGGAACUGCGAGUGUAGAGGUGAAAUUCGUAGAUAUUCGCAAGAACACCAGUGGCGAAGGCGGCUCACUGGCCCGGUACUGACGCUGAGGUGCGAAAGCGUGGGGAGCAAACAGG
rnacentral:rRNA from 1 species